GAUGAACGCUGGCGGCGUGCUUAACACAUGCAAGUCGAACGGACAGACCCUGCUUUUGUGCCGUGCUCGAGUGGCGCACGGGUGAGUGACACGUGUGUAACCUCCCCCUGAAUUUGGGGUAAAUCCAGGAGACUCCGGAUCAUACACGAUAGGAGCUCCUGCUGCGCGGUGGGGAAUGGUAAGAUUCGGCGGUGGGGGAAGGACUAGCGGCAUAGCCGCCUGUUGGUGGGGUAGUGGCUUACAAAGGCUUGGACGGGUAGCCGGCCUGGGAGGGUGACCGGCUCCAUUGGGACUGGGGUACGACCCAGAGGGCUACGGGAGGCAUCAGUGGGGAACAGUGCACAAUGGGCGGAAGCCGGAUGCAGCAACGCCGCGUGGAGGAUGUCGGCCUUCGGGUUGUAAACCGCUUGCGCGUGUGUCGAAGCGUGAGUGACGUUAAUAGGUAAAGAAGCACCGGCUAACUACGU
rnacentral:rRNA from 1 species